rnacentral:rRNA from 1 species
GACGAACGCUGGCGGCGUGCCUAAUACAUGCAAGUCGAACGCUUUUUCUUUCACCGGAGCUUGCUCCACCGAAAGAAAAAGAGUGGCGAACGGGUGAGUAACACGUGGGUAACCUGCCCAUCAGAAGGGGAUAACACUUGGAAACAGGUGCUAAUACCGUAUAACACUAUUUUCCGCAUGGAAGAAAGUUGAAAGGCGCUUUUGCGUCACUGAUGGAUGGACCCGCGGUGCAUUAGCUAGUUGGUGAGGUAACGGCUCACCAAGGCAACGAUGCAUAGCCGACCUGAGAGGGUGAUCGGCCACACUGGGACUGAGACACGGCCCAGACUCCUACGGGAGGCAGCAGUAGGGAAUCUUCGGCAAUGGACGAAAGUCUGACCGAGCAACGCCGCGUGAGUGAAGAAGGUUUUCGGAUCGUAAAACUCUGUUGUUAGAGAAGAACAAGGAUGAGAGUAAAACGUCAUCCCUGGACGUAUCUAACCAGAAGCC